rnacentral:tRNA from 8 species
GGGGGCGUAGCUCAGCUGGGAGAGCACCUGCCUUGCAAGCAGGGGGUCAGCGGUUCGAUCCCGCUCGUCUCCACCA